GAUGAACGCUGGCUACAGGCUUAACACAUGCAAGUCGAGGGGAAACGACGGGGAAGCUUGCUUCCCCGGGCGUCGACCGGCGCACGGGUGAGUAACGCGUAUCCAACCUGCCUCUGACUGAGGGAUAACCCGUCGAAAGUCGGCCUAAUACCUCAUGGCAUAGUCUGCGGGCAUCCAACGACGAUUAAAGAUUUCCUCGGUCAGAGAUGGGGAUGCGUCUGAUUAGCUUGUUGGCGGGGUAACGGCCCACCAAGGCGACGAUCAGUAGGGGUUCUGAGAGGAAGGUCCCCCACAUUCGAACGGAGACACGGUCCAAACUCCUACGCGAGGCAGCAGUGAGGAAUAUUGUUCAAUGGGCGAGAGCCUGAACCAGCCAAGUAGCGUGCAGGAUGACGGCCCUAUGGGUUGUAAACUGCUUUUAUGCGGGGAUAAAGUGAGGGACGUGUCCUUCAUUGCAGGUACCGCAUGAAUAAGGACCGGCUAAUUCCGUG
rnacentral:rRNA from 1 species